GCUCAGUUGGUUAAGCAUCGGACUCUUGAUUUCAGCUCAGGUUAUGAUCUCAAAGUUUGUGGGUUUGAGCCCCACAUUGGGCU
rnacentral:tRNA from 1 species